rnacentral:tRNA from 1 species
GCUAGCGUAGCUUAAAGAUAAAGCAUAACGCUGAAGAUGUUAGGAUGAACCCUAUAAAGUUCCGCAAGCA